rnacentral:lncRNA from 1 species
GUAAGAUAGAAAAUAAAAGAGAAAUUUGACAUUGAUCGUGGAUAGUUGUAGCUGUUAACUUUUUUUCUGUCCCUUAAAUCGUAGGUGCAGUGUCCUAGACAAGGACAUUAACUGACUAGGGAUUCCUCAUCUCUGCCAGAUGGAGGAAAUAAGAAGCUGAAGGGAUAUAUUUUUGCAGUGUUUACAGUGCAUGGAAGUUUCCUUAAAUACAUAAUCAGAGAACUCACUGAUGAACAUCCUCGCUCCAUCCAAGGUCCAGCAGCAUCCCCGCCUAAACCAUUGACCACUGACAAGACAAAAUGUUAGGUAAGAGAAGCUGCAUAUCAAGACCAUUCCUUUUGUAGCAGCAUCCAGGUAACGAUCCCCAAAGUGAAUUAUUCUUUGGCAAAAAUUACACAGAUAAUUCCUCUAAUUCUUUGAAUUUCUAAAUGUUUAAAUGAGUACCAACAUUACAUUCAGUUAAACAACUAGAUAUUUUAAAACAACUGGAUGAACUCAGUUUAUAAUUUAUUAGUAAAUAGAGUAGCUUGCCUAAAUAUACUCUCGAUUGACAUUUUUUACCUCUGAAUUGCUUUGUGUGUGAUGUGAAGACUAGAAAUUCGGUUUUAAGAGGCAAGGCUGCCCAGAGAGAUUCUGUGUAUUGGUGGUAGAAAAGGGAUAAGUUAGAAAAAAUACAUAUACAGGAGCAUUUCUUUCCUCUCUCUACUAUUCAAGAAUUGUUGGAACAUUUAGAUCUUUAUAGACACUCAUCACUUUAGGUUCCCUUGACAUUUCUGUCUAAUUUCUAAACAACCUGUUUUAAACUAUAAGGGCCAGUGUUGUGCAACAGCAGAUUAAGCUGCCACUUUAACUACAUUGCAGUGCUGGUUUGAGUCCUAGCUACUCUGCCAGCAAUCCAGCUUCCUGCUAAUGGACCCGAGAAGGCAGAAUAAAAUGACCCAAGUCCUUGAACCCCUGCCA